rnacentral:rRNA from 1 species
UACGUAGGGGGCGAGCGUUGUCCGGAUUUAUUGGGCGUAAAGAGCUCGUAGGCGGUUUGGUUAGUCGGGUGUGAAAUCUCCAGGCUCAACCUGGAGGGGUCAUUCGAUACUGCCAUGACUAGAGUUCGGUAGGGGUGUGUGGAAUUCCUGGUGGAGCGGUGAAAUGCGCAGAGAUCAGGAGGAACACCCGUAGCGAAGGCGGCACACUGGGCCGAUACUGACGCUGAGGAGCGAAAGCCAGGGGAGCAAACGGG